AUUGAACGCUGGCGGCAUGCCUUACACAUGCAAGUCGAACGGCAGCACGGGAGCAAUCCUGGUGGCGAGUGGCGAACGGGUGAGUAAAGUAUCGGAACGUGCCCAGUCGUGGGGGAUAACGUAGCGAAAGUUACGCUAAUACCGCAUACGAUCUAUGGAUGAAAGCGGGGGAUCGCAAGACCUUGCGCGAUUGGAGCGGCCGAUAUCAGAUUAGGUAGUUGGUGGGGUAAAGGCUCACCAAGCCGACGAUCUGUAGCUGGUCUGAGAGGACGACCAGCCACACUGGGACUGAGACACGGCCCAGACUCCUACGGGAGGCAGCAGUGGGGAAUUUUGGACAAUGGGCGAAAGCCUGAUCCAGCCAUGCCGCGUGCAGGAUGAAGGCCUUCGGGUUGUAAACUGCUUUUGUACGGAACGAAAGGGUUUGGCCUAAUAAGCUGAGCUCAUGACGGUACCGUAAGAAUAAGCACCGGCUAACUACGUGCCAGCCGCCGCGGUAA
rnacentral:rRNA from 1 species